UUAACUCAUAUUUGUAUGGAAUGGGAUCGUUUGCGUACGUUUGCGGCUAGGGGCGCUGUUCCAAUUGCAUACAAAAUUGGCUA
rnacentral:pre_miRNA from 1 species